rnacentral:rRNA from 1 species
CCGGGGUGGGGGGGUGCUAUACAUGCAGUCGAGCGAACAGAGAAGGAGCUUGCUCCUUUGACGUUAGCGGCGGACGGGUGAGUCUACCUUAUAGUUUGGGAUAACUCCGGGAAACCGGGGCUAAUACCGAAUAAUCUGUUUCACCUCAUGGUGAAAUAUUGAAAGACGGUUUCGGCUGUCGCUAUAGGAUGGGCCCGCGGCGCAUUAGCUAGUUGGUGAGGUAACGGCUCACCAAGGCGACGAUGCGUAGCCGACCUGAGAGGGUGAUCGGCCACACUGGGACUGAGACACGGCCCAGACUCCUACGGGAGGCAGCAGUAGGGAAUCUUCCACAAUGGGCGAAAGCCUGAUGGAGCAACGCCGCGUGAGUGAAGAAGGAUUUCGGUUCGUAAAACUCUGUUGUAAGGGAAGAACAAGUACAGUAGUAACUGGCUGUACCUUGACGGUACCUUAUUAGAAAGCCACGGCUAACUACGUGCCAGCAGCCGCGGUAAUACGUAGGUGGCAAGCGUUGUCCGGAAUUAUUGGGCGUAAAGCGCGCGCAGGUGGUUUCUUAAGUCUGAUGUGAAAGCCCACGGCUCAACCGUGGAGGGUCAUUGGAAACUGGGAGACUUGAGUGCAGAAGAGGAUAGUGGAAUUCCAAGUGUAGCGGUGAAAUGCGUAGAGAUUUGGAGGAACACCAGUGGCGAAAGCGACUAUCUGGUCUGUAACUGACACUGAGGCGCGAAAGCGCGGGGAGCACACAGGAUUACAUACCCUGGGAGUCCACGCCCCAAACGAUGACUGCUAAGUGUUACGGGGUUUCCGCCCCUUAGUGCUGCUGCUAAUGCAUUAACCACUCCGUCCUGCGGGAGGACGGCCGCAGACUGACACUCCAGAGAAUUUUAACCGUGGAAA